UUUAGGAUCCUAUAAAAUAGAAUUAAUCUAUAAAUAACUAAGUAAAGAAAUCUAAUUACUUUGUGAUUUUA
rnacentral:tRNA from 1 species